rnacentral:sRNA from 1 species
CUCAUAUGCCUGCUGCGGGCAGAUAAAGUGAAUGUGCGUGUCGAUGCCGCCGGUCGUGAUGAUCUUGUUCUCGCCCGCCACAACCUCGGUGCAGCUGCCAACCACCAUGUUCUCGGGGAACACGCCGUCCAUGACGUCGGGGUUGCCCGCCUUGCCGAUACCGACAAUAAUGCCCUCCUUGAUACCAAUGUCGGCUUUGUAGAUGCCAGUCCAGUCGAGAAUCAGCGCAUUCACCACAACAAGGUCUAGGCAGUCCUUGUCAGAACGGCCCGAUGCCUGGCCCAUACCCUCACGCAG